rnacentral:rRNA from 1 species
AUGAACGCUGGCGGCGUGCCUAAUACAUGCAAGUCGAGCGAACAGACGAGGAGCUUGCUCCUCUGACGUUAGCGGCGGACGGGUGAGUAACACGUGGAUAACCUACCUAUAAGACUGGGAUAACUUCGGGAAACCGGAGCUAAUACCGGAUAAUAUAUUGAACCGCAUGGUUCAAUAGUGAAAGACGGUUUUGCUGUCACUUAUAGAUGGACCCGCGCCGCAUUAGCUAGUUGGUAAGGUAACGGCUUACCAAGGCAACGAUGCGUAGCCGACCUGAGAGGGUGAUCGGCCACACUGGAACUGAGACACGGUCCAGACUCCUACGGGAGGCAGCAGUAGGGAAUCUUCCGCAAUGGGCGAAAGCUUGACGGAGCAACGCCGCGUGAGUGAUGAAGGUCUUCGGAUCGUAAAACUCUGUUAUUAGGGAAGAACAAAUGUGUAAGUAACUAUGCACGUCUUGACGGUACCUAAUCAGAAAGCCACGGCUAACUACGUG